GCGAAAAAGACUGACUCGUCGUGAUGCACCAUCACAUGGUGGACACACGCUAGCCAUCCUUGCCAAAGCAGAUUCGUGUUGGAUUGGCAUGUUCUUUUGCCUAAUAGUCUUCGUUUGGGGGAACAAUGGAGGCUAGCGCCUUGAAUUCAAGAAGAGAAUGCAAAGGAACCACUUUUCAUCGCUUCUUAUUCAUCAAGGUGAUUGCCGAGUAAGGUAGAUGCUUCUUUAGUUUGAAAAUUUGCAAGGAAGAAACAAUGUACACUAGCUACUGUGACAUUAAGUGUGGUGUUUUUAGGAUUAUUGAGUGUUUCAAUAGUCAAGGUACAGACGUUGUUAUUCUAGGUAAAAAGUUUAUUGAACCCAGGUGGUUUUGUAGGCUUUGGUCACUUGUAAGCUUUCGUCACUUGUUGGCAUGAUAUCAAUUUAGCAUUUACUGCUCCUCGAUGGCUU